GUCUAUGGCGGGCCGGGCGGGGAGACCUUCGGGUCUGCCGGUCGUUCUCUAAGGGCCGGUUCGCCAGCCCCGCCGUCAGGCCCGCCACCCCU
rfam:Mumia flava strain MTSC 201 Contig291, whole genome shotgun sequence.